CCUCCUUAAACGAAGCCGAAUGCUUCGGUCAGAGUCCACACGAAUUACUUGGUUGGCUAAUAAAGAGAGCAGAUGGGUCUUUGCAGGCCCGUACGAUUGGGUCUGUAGCUCAGGUGGUUAGAGCGCACCCCUGAUAAGGGUGAGGUCGGUGGUUCAAGUCCACCCAGACCCACCAGAAUUUCACUGCUCGUCGUUGCUUCCAGGUUCAUGUGCUACUCGCACACGUCACCCGAAAGCGCCUAGAUCAGUAAAAUCCUGGUCCAGAGACGACGGCAGAGCUCAAGAAUGAUUCUGGGGCUAUAGCUCAGCUGGGAGAGCGCCUGCCUUGCACGCAGGAAGUCGGCAGUUCGAUCCUGCCUAGCUCCCCCAAAAUUUACUGACUAACGCGAGUUAGCAGUGUACAGAAACAAGUUUUUCAGUUUUGUGACUCCAGUGAAAAUUGUGGCUGAAAACCUUCUUUUCUGAUCACUGGGUCAAAAUUUGCUCUUUAACAAAUUGGACGAAAUAGAACACGAAUAUUUUCUCUCAUUAUCUCCGAAAGGGAAUAUUCAAUGUGAUAA
rnacentral:misc_RNA from 1 species